CGCAGCCGCGGUAAUUCCAGCUCCAAUAGCGUAUAUUAAAGUUGUUGCAGUUAAAAGCUCGUAGUUGAAUUUCGGGGUUAGUAGGUUGGUCAUGCCUCUGGUAUGUACUGGUCUCACUGAUUCCUCCUUCCUGAUGAGCCGUAAUGCCAUUAAUUUGGUGUUGCGGGGAAUUUGGACUGUUACUUUGAAAAAUUAGAGUGUUUAAAGCAAGCUAACGCUUGAAUACAUUAGCGCGGAAUAAUGAAAUGGGACGUUCGAUCCUAUUUUGUUGGUUUCUAGGAUUGAAGUAAUGAUUAAUAGGGAUAGUUGGGGGCACUAGUAUUCAAUUGUCAGAGGUGAAAUUCUUGGAUUUAUUGAAGACUAACUACUGCGAAAGCAUUUGCCAAGGAUGUUUUCAUUAAUCAAGAACGAAAGUUAGGGGAUCGAAGACGAUCAGAUACCGUCGUAGUCUUAACCAUAAACUAUGCCGACUAGGGAUCGGAUGAUGUUAAUUUUCUAAUGACUCA
rnacentral:rRNA from 1 species